AAGAAGUAUAUAUGCAGAGUUGUGAAGGAUAUAUUCAAAUUGCAGGAAUACAGGAAUAUAUUAAAGCACAGUAAAGUGACUUUUGUAUUGACUAGAUUCACAAUUUGAGAGGAUUGAACUGAAUGAUUUGAACAAUACAGCAAUUCCCAGAAGAACUUAGCUUGUUUGUGGAGGUUGGUGAUUAGAGAGAGUCCUUUCUGUGUAUAAC